rnacentral:misc_RNA from 1 species
GCAUAUUUCUCACUACACCCGGGCACAUUUGUUGUUACAAGUUCAAGAUAUUUACUGUUGUAAGUUGAAGACUUCAGUUGCGCCAAAGAUGGUUCAUUCCAUAUUCAAUCAUAGCUCCCUAGAAUUGUCAUAUGCACCUUUCCAUUAACAAGAGGUCCUGCAUCAUUAAUGUUUGUGGUUCUACUUUUUUCAUUGUUCAAAAAAUUGGAUCUAAUUACUUGAUUUGCUUGAUCAUACAAAUAUUGAUCCUGUUUUAUAGUGGAGGAUUUAUCACCUUAUUAAGGCACUUCUAAGCCUCCUGUUUCUCCUUCUAGUGCUUUUGCACAUCAAAAUUUGACUUAAUCACCAAAUCUUCCACAACAAAAAGAUGAAAUUGAAGUUGUGCAGUGUUAUCAAAGGCGAGCGA